AUUGAACGCUGGCGGCAGGCCUAACACAUGCAAGUCGAGCGGUUGAGGUAGCUUGCUACCGAUGCAACGGCGAACGGGUGAGUAAUACAUGGGAAUCUGCCUGGUAGUGGGGGACAACGUCUCGAAAGGGACGCUAAUACCGCAUACGCCCUACGGGGGAAAGGGGGGGAUCUUCGGCCCUCUCGCUAUCAGAUGAGCCCAUGUCAGAUUAGCUAGUUGGUGGGGUAAAGGCUCACCAAGGCGACGAUCUGUAACUGGUCUGAGAGGAUGAUCAGUCACACUGGAACUGAGACACGGUCCAGACUCCUACGGGAGGCAGCAGUGGGGAAUAUUGGACAAUGGGCGCAAGCCUGAUCCAGCCAUGCCGCGUGUGUGAAGAAGGCCUUAGGGUUGUAAAGCACUUUCAGUGGGGAGAAAGGUUAUUCACCUAAUACGUGAGUAAAUUGAUGUUACCCACAGAAGAAGCACCGGCUAACUCCGUGCCAGCAGCCGCGGUAA
rnacentral:rRNA from 1 species